rnacentral:rRNA from 1 species
GACGAACGCUGGCGGCGUGCUUAACACAUGCAAGUCGAACGGAAAGGCCCUGCUUUUGUGGGGUGCUCGAGUGGCGAACGGGUGAGUAACACGUGAGUAACCUGCCCUUGACUUUGGGAUAACUUCAGGAAACUGGGGCUAAUACCGGAUAGGAGCUCCUGCUGCAUGGUGGGGGUUGGAAAGUUUCGGCGGUUGGGGAUGGACUCGCGGCUUAUCAGCUUGUUGGUGGGGUAGUGGCUUACCAAGGCUUUGACGGGUAGCCGGCCUGAGAGGGUGACCGGCCACAUUGGGACUGAGAUACGGCCCAGACUCCUACGGGAGGCAGCAGUGGGGAAUAUUGCACAAUGGGCGGAAGCCUGAUGCAGCAACGCCGCGUGCGGGAUGACGGCCUUCGGGUUGUAAACCGCUUUCGCCUGUGACGAAGCGUGAGUGACGGUAAUGGGUAAAGAAGCACCGGCUAACUACGGG